rnacentral:rRNA from 1 species
GACGAACGCUGGCGGCGUGCCUAAUACAUGCAAGUAGAACGCACAGUUUAUACCGUAGCUUGCUACACCAUAGACUGUGAGUUGCGAACGGGUGAGUAACGCGUAGGUAACCUGCCUGGUAGCGGGGGAUAACUAUUGGAAACGAUAGCUAAUACCGCAUAAUAUUAAUUAUUGCAUGAUAAUUAAUUGAAAGGUGCAAUUGCACCACUACCAGAUGGACCUGCGUUGUAUUAGCUAGUAGGUGAGGUAACGGCUCACCUAGGCGACGAUACAUAGCCGACCUGAGAGGGUGAUCGGCCACACUGGGACUGAGACACGGCACAGACUCCUACGGGAGGCAGCAGGAGGGAAUCUUCGGCAAGGGACGAAAGUCUGACCGAGCAACGCCGCGUGAGUGAAGAAGGUUUUCGGAUCGUAAAGCUCUGUUGUAAGAGAAGAACGGGUGUGAGAGUGGAAAGUUCACACUGUGACGGUAUCUUACCAGAAAGGGACGGCUAACUACGUG